rnacentral:rRNA from 1 species
UACGUAGGGUGCAAGCGUUGUCCGGAAUUAUUGGGCGUAAAGAGCUUGUAGGCGGUUUGUCGCGUCUGCUGUGAAAUUUCGGGGCUCAACCCCGAACUUGCAGUGGGUACGGGCAGACUAGAGUGUGGUAGGGGAGACUGGAAUUCCUGGUGUAGCGGUGAAAUGCGCAGAUAUCAGGAGGAACACCUAUGGCGAAGGCAGCUCUCUGGUACGAGACUGACGCUGAGACGCGAAAGCAUGGGGAGCGAACAGG